rnacentral:rRNA from 1 species
GACGUAGGGGGCAAGCGUUUAUUCGGAAUUAUUGGGCGUAAAGCGUGCGCAGGCGGUGAUGUAAGACAGGUGUGAAAUCCCCGGGCUUAACCUGGGAACUGCAUUUGUGACUGCAUCGCUGGAGUGCGGCAGAGGGGGAUGGAAUUCCGCGUGUAGCAGUGAAAUGCGUAGAGAUGCGGAGGAACACCGAUGGCGAAGGCAGCCCCCCUGGGCUGACACUGACGCCUCAGGCACGAAAGCGUGGGGAGCAAACAGG